UGUGGUCAAGUUUUUAAGGGCACACGGUGGAUGCCUUGGCAUCAGGAGCCGAAGAAGGACGUAGGAAUCUGCGAUAAGCCUGGGGGAGUUGAUAACCGAGCGUUGAUCCCAGGAUGUCCGAAUGGGGAAACCCCGCCCGGCGCGCGAGUGACCGGGUGACCCGCAUCUGAACACAUAGGGUGCGUGGAGGGAACGCGGGGAAGUGAAACAUCUCAGUACCCGCAGGAAGAGAAAACAAUAGUGAUUCCGUUAGUAGUGGCGAGCGAACGCGGAAGAGGCUAAACCAGUGGUGUGUGAUAGCCGGCGGGCGUUGCAUCACUGGGGUUGUGGGACUUUCCGUAUCAGUUCUGCCGGACUGGUGAAGUGAGUGCAGGUGCAUAGGUGAACUGGUUUGAAAGCCAGGCCGUAGAGGGUGUUAGCCCCGUAACCGGAAUGUAUGCUGCCGCUUGGAGAGGAUCCCAAGUAGCACGGGGCCCGAGAAAUCCCGUGCGAAUCUGCCAGGACCACCUGGUAAGCCUAAAUACUCCCUGAUGACCGAUAGCGGACAAGUACCGUGAGGGAAAGGUGAAAAGUACCCCGGGAGGGGAGUGAAAUAGUACCUGAAACCGUGUGCCUACAAACCGUCGGAGCAGCCUUGUAGCUGUGACGGCGUGCCUUUUGAAGAAUGAGCCUGCGAGUUAGUGUUACGUCGCGAGGUUAACCCGUGUGGGGAAGCCGUAGCGAAAGCGAGUCUGAAUAGGGCGAGUGAGUGGCGUGAUCUAGACCCGAAGCGGAGUGAUCUACCCAUGGCCAGGUUGAAGCGACGGUAAGACGUCGUGGAGGACCGAACCCACUUCAGUUGAAAAUGGAGGGGAUGAGCUGUGGGUAGGGGUGAAAGGCCAAUCAAACUCCGUGAUAGCUGGUUCUCCCCGAAAUGCAUUUAGGUGCAGCGUUGCGUGUUUCUUGCCGGAGGUAGAGCUACUGGAUGGCCGAUGGGCCCUACAAGGUUACUGACGUCAGCCAAACUCCGAAUGCCGGUAAGUGAGAGCGCAGCAGUGAGACUGUGGGGGAUAAGCUUCAUAGUCGAGAGGGAAACAGCCCAGACCACCAACUAAGGCCCCUAAGCGUGUGCUAAGUGGGAAAGGAUGUGGAGUUGCCCAGACAACCAGGAGGUUGGCUUAGAAGCAGCCACCCUUGAAAGAGUGCGUAAUAGCUCACUGGUCAAGUGAUUCCGCGCCGACAAUGUAGCGGGGCUCAAGUACACCGCCGAAGUUGUGGAUUUCAGAUUUUUGGUAAGCCUUCGUGGUUCAGCCGUCUGGAGUGGUAGGGGAGCGUCGUGUGGGCAGUGAAGCUGCGGUGUAAACCAGUGGUGGAGCCUACACGAGUGAGAAUGCAGGCAUGAGUAGCGAAAGACGGGUGAGAAACCCGUCCGCCGAAUGAUCAAGGGUUCCAGGGUCAAGCUAAUCUGCCCUGGGUAAGUCGGGACCUAAGGCGAGGCCGACAGGCGUAGUCGAUGGACAACGGGUUGAUAUUCCCGUACCGGCGAAAAACCGCCCAUACUAAACGGGGGAUACUAACCGCCCAAUACCUGACCGGCCGCCCUUGUGGCGACCCGGUUUUUGGUGGAGCGCGGGACCGUAGCCCGGGAGGUAAGCGUAUUAACAGGUGUGACGCAGGAAGGUAGCCGGGCCAGGCGAUGGUAGUCCUGGUCUAAGGAUGUAGGGUCAGUGAUAGGCAAAUCCGUCACUGUGUCUUUGAUGACGCACCUGAGAUCUGAUGGGACCCCCGAACGGGGGAAUCCGGUGAUCCUAUGCUGCCUAGAAAAGCAUCGGCGCGAGGUUUUAGCCGCCCGUACCCCAAACCGACACAGGUGAUCAGGUAGAGAAUACUAAGGCGAUCGAGAGAAUUAUGGUUAAGGAACUCGGCAAAAUGCCCCCGUAACUUCGGGAGAAGGGGGGCCUGCCCCGUGACCGCCACUUGCUGGCGUGAGCGGGUGUGGGCCGCAGAGACCAGGGGGAAGCGACUGUUUACUAAAAACACAGGUCCGUGCGAAGUCGCAAGACGAUGUAUACGGACUGACUCCUGCCCGGUGCUGGAAGGUUAAGAGGACCGGUUAGCCCUUACGGGCGAAGCUGGGAAUUUAAGCCCCAGUAAACGGCGGUGGUAACUAUAACCAUCCUAAGGUAGCGAAAUUCCUUGUCGGGUAAGUUCCGACCUGCACGAAUGGAGUAACGACUUCCCCGCUGUCUCAACCAUAAACUCGGCGAAAUUGCAGUACGAGUAAAGAUGCUCGUUACGCGCAGCAGGACGGAAAGACCCCGAGACCUUUACUAUAGUUUGGUAUUGGUGUUCGGUGUGGCUUGUGUAGGAUAGGUGGGAGACUGUGAGACCCGGACGCCAGUUCGGGUGGAGUCAUCGUUGAAAUACCACUCUGGUCAUACUGGAUAUCUAACUUCGGCCCGUAAUCCGGGUCAGGGACAGUGCCUGAUGGGUAGUUUAACUGGGGCGGUUGCCUCCUAAAGAGUAACGGAGGCGCCCAAAGGUUCCCUCAGCCUGGUUGGCAAUCAGGUGUCGAGUGUAAGUGCACAAGGGAGCUUGACUGUGAGAGAGACAUCUCAAGCAGGGACGAAAGUCGGGACUAGUGAUCCGGCGGUACAUUGUGGAAUGGCCGUCGCUCAACGGAUAAAAGGUACCUCGGGGAUAACAGGCUGAUCUUGCCCAAGAGUCCAUAUCGACGGCAUGGUUUGGCACCUCGAUGUCGGCUCGUCGCAUCCUGGGGCUGGAGUAGGUCCCAAGGGUUGGGCUGUUCGCCCAUUAAAGCGGUACGCGAGCUGGGUUUAGAACGUCGUGAGACAGUUCGGUCCCUAUCCGCUGCGCGCGCAGGAAAUUUGAGAAGGGCUGUCCUUAGUACGAGAGGACCGGGACGGACGAACCUCUGGUGUGUCAGUUGUACUGCCAAGUGCACCGCUGAUUAGCUACGUUCGGAUGGGAUAACCGCUGAAAGCAUCUAAGCGGGAAGCCUGCUUCGAGAUGAGAUUUCCAUACACCUUGUGUGUGAGAGGCCCCCAGCCAGACCACUGGGUUGAUAGGCCGGAUGUGGAAGCGGGGACUAAAGACCCGUGAAGCUGACCGGUACUAAUAGGCCGAUAACUUACACCACAACACACUCUGGCGGAACACG
rnacentral:rRNA from 1 species